UUUUGAUUUCUUUGUUGAAUCCUAAUGUUUUUAAAAAGCGUACAAUAUUGUUCUCGUAACUAGCCUUGAAAAAGAAACGAUUUGUUUCGAAACGUCGGCAUUGUUACACAGUGAACAAUAGAUAAUAAACAGUGUCCAACACU